rnacentral:rRNA from 1 species
CANACCUCUAAUCGGAAAAGACUACCCGCUGAGUUUAAGCAUAUCAAUAAGCGGGAGGGA